rnacentral:rRNA from 1 species
GAUGAACGCUGGCGGCGUGCCUAAUACAUGCAAGUCGAGCGAACAGACGAGGAGCUUGCUCCUCUGACGUUAGCGGCGGACGGGUGAGUAACACGUGGAUAACCUACCUAUAAGACUGGGAUAACUUCGGGAAACCGGAGCUAAUACCGGAUAAUAUAUUGAACCGCAUGGUUCAAUGGUGAAAGACGGUUUUGCUGUAACUUCUAGAUGGAUCCGCGCCGUAUUAGGUAGUUGGUAAGGUAAAAGCUUACCAAGGCAACGAUGCGUAACCGACCUGAGAGGGUGAUAGCCCACACUGGAACUGAGACACGGUCCAGACUCCUACGGGAGGCAGCAGUAGGGAAUCGUCCGCAAUGGGCGAAAGCCUGACGGAGCAACGCCGCGUGAGUGAUGAAGGUCUUCGGAUCGUAAAGCUCUGUUAUUAGGGAAGAACAAAUGUGUAAGUAACUAUGCACGUCUUGACGGUACCUAAUCAGAAAGCCACGGCUAACUACGUG